UACGUAGGGUGCGAGCGUUAAUCGGAAUUACUGGGCGUAAAGCGUGCGCAGGCGGUUCGUUAAGUUCGUUGUGAAAGCCCCGGGCUCAACCUGGGAACUGCAAUGGAAACUGGCGGGCUUGAAUGCGGCAGAGGGGGGUGGAAUUCCGCGUGUAGCAGUGAAAUGCGUAGAGAUGCGGAGGACCACCGAUGGCGAAGGCAGCCCCCUGGGCCGACAUUGACGCUCAUGCACGAAAGCGUGGGGAGCAAACAGG
rnacentral:rRNA from 1 species